rnacentral:rRNA from 1 species
UACGUACCGUCCAAACGUUAUUCGGAUUUACUGGGCUUAAAGGGUGCGCAGGCGGUCUCGUAAGCUGGGUGUGAAAGCCCCGGGCUUAACCUGGGAAUGGCAUUCAGGACUGCGAGGCUUUGAGUGCGGCAGAGGGAGGUGGAAUUCCACGUGUAGCAGUGAAAUGCGUAGAGAUGUGGAGGAACACCGAUGGCGAAGGCAGCCUCCUGGGCCAGCACUGACGCUCAUGCACGAAAGCGUGGGGAGCAAACAGG